AGGCCAUGGUUGCUCGUGGGGACCUUGGAGCUGAACUUCCGAUAGAAAAAGUUCCUUUAUUGCAGGAUUAUCCUAACCGUUACAAGGGUCUUACAGGAUUUUCGUUUCAAUAAAUAAUAUUGCUUAUCAAGGGGACUAAUUGAAAACAAAAUGUGUGUAACACCUGAUGCAUUUUUCUGUCUGUUGAAGCCGAAACAAGAGAUAUGGAAAGAUGCAUGGACCAUUUUUUUAUUCUUUACUUUUUCUUUGGGUACGCCAAAUUAACCAAGGGGUGAUACUUUUUAUUGAAGUUUUUAUUAGUGACAUAUUUCAGUGAA